rnacentral:rRNA from 1 species
CAGUAGCCGCGGUAAUACGGAGGGGGCUAGCGUUGUUCGGAAUUACUGGGCGUAAAGCGCACGUAGGCGGCUUUGUAAGUUAGAGGUGAAAGCCUGGAGCUCAACUCCAGAAUUGCCUUUAAGACUGCAUCGCUUGAACGUCGGAGAGGUGAGUGGAAUUCCGAGUGUAGAGGUGAAAUUCAUAGAUAUUCGGAAGAACACCAGUGGCGAAGGCGGCUCACUGGACGACUGUUGACGCUGAGGUGCGAAAGCGUGGGGAGCAAACAGGAUUAGAUACCCGCGUAGUCCCUGUCUCUUAUAC